CGUGCAGGCGGUUUCGUAAGUCGGACGUGAAAGCUCCUGGCUCAACUGGGAGAGGUCGUUCGAUACUGCGGGACUUGAGGUUGGGAGAGGGACGUGGAAUUCCCGGUGUAGUGGCGGAAUGCGUAGAUAUCGGGAGGAACACCAGUGGCGAAGGCGGCGUCCUGGCCCACACCUGACGCUAAGACGCGAAAGCGUGGGUAGCGAACG
rnacentral:rRNA from 1 species